GACGUAGGGCGCGAGCGUUGUCCGGAUUUAUUGGGCGUAAAGAGCUCGUAGGCGGCUUGUUGCGUCGACUGUGAAAACCUGCGGCUCAACCGUGUGGUCUGCAGUCGAUACGGGCAGGCUGGAGUUCGGUAGGGGAGACUGGAAUUCCUGGUGUAGCGGUGAAAUGCGCAGAUAUCAGGAGGAACACCGGUGGCGAAGGCGGCUUCCUGGACCGACACUGACGCUGAGGCGCGAAAGCUAGGGGAGCAAACGGG
rnacentral:rRNA from 1 species